CACGUAGGGGGCGAGCGUUGUCCGGAUUCAUUGGGCGUAAAGGGCGCGCAGGCGGCUCGGAAAGUCGGGUGUGAAAACUCGGGGCUCAACCCCGGGCGUGCAUCCGAUACUGCCGGGCUUGAGGCAGGUAGGGGAGAUCGGAAUUCCUGGUGUGAGCGGUGGAAAUGACGCAGAUAUCAGGGAGGAACACCGGUGGCGAAGGCGGAUCUCUGGACAGUUCCUGACGCUGAGGCGCGGAAGGCCAGGGGAGCAAACGGG
rnacentral:rRNA from 1 species